GAUUCAGACUACUCCUUGGUUCCUUGCAGAAUGAUUAUCCGUCUCUGAGCAAGUGCGACUAUGAGCUUACUUAUGAGAUCUGACUCC
rnacentral:snoRNA from 1 species